UUUGCCUUGUUUCGGCGAGCCACGCCCCUUCUGUCACAUGACCAACGGCCUUUGUUUUGUUUCUUUCCUCUCUCCUCCUCCCUCCUAUUUGUUUUAUUUUUGAGCGGAAGGUUUCACCUCUGGGUGAUACGACUAAAAUAAUCCACCCCCAUCUCGGGCGGAAUACUUCGAAUCGACUAAAGAGUGAUGGCUAAAAGUCCUUAUGUAAAAUAGACAAUAUGUAUCCAUCCGCGGUCUGGAUUUCUCCCCUUUCUAGCAGGAAAGGGAAAGAGGCGGAAGGACACCGCGGUCAAAUCACUCCUUUAAAGGGACGAGGGAAGCGGAAGGAGGGGAAAAAAGCUGGUUUUGAAAAGUCCGCCCAAAAUGUCUGCGCGCGGAUUGGCUAGCGAGCCGCGAACGCUGAUUGGACAGUGCGGUUCAAAGAACUCUGUGUUUACAGAGAGAAGGGUGACUUUGGGUUCUCAGGCACAUGUAAGAGCUUCCAUUUAACAUCUACGAUCUACAACAUGGCAGACCAUGCAAAAAAGCAUCUGCCAACCCCACCUUCUCCAAGGGGAACUGAACCACCUAAACUGGGCUCUACAGGCCAAUGGAGAGUCCACCACAGACAUCAGAAGAGCUCCAAGGCCAAGAACAAGCCACGGGAGUAAAGAGAAAGAUCCACCCAGAGGAAAAGUGUUCUUACCGUACAUCAUGGGAACCACAGACUGCAUAGGGAAGCUGAUAUAGAAACACAACCUACAAACUAUCUACAAACCCACUAAGAAAAUCCAACAAAUGCUACUUUCAGCAAAGGACAAGAGGGAUCCUCUCACCUCCGCAGGAGUCUACCGUAUACCAUGCAGCUGCGGACAAGUCUACAUAGGUACCAGCAAACACAGCAUUGUCCAAACACGAAUCAAAGAACAUGAAAGGCACUGCAGACUAAUUCAGCCAGAGAAGUCAGCCAUAGCAGAGCACUUGAUGAACCAACCUGGACAAACAUUUUAUUUGAGAACACAGAAAUGCUGGACCACUCUAACAACCACCAUGUCAGAAUGAGAAGCAAUUGAAAUCCACAAGCAUGUGGACAAUUUCAACAGAAAGGAGGAAAAAAUGAAAAUAAACAAAAUCUGGCUACCAGUAUUUAAAAAAACUCUAAAAUCAGGACAGUACAUAAAGAACAACACUCUGAAAACAGAAGAGUUCCAGACAGGAAACAAUCAGGGACAGCUAAAACCUCCCAACAAAGGAUUCCCCCAGGCAGGAUGCAGCCAGGCUUUGAAGCUGUAAGGCCAUUCAGUGCUAAUCAAGGUAGCCAAUGGUAACUUUCACACUUGCCUCAAGCAAAUAAGAGUUCUUUUUCCCACACUGGACAUUAUUCCAGAGAUAUAUAAACCUCCCUUGCAUAGUUUCCAAUAUAUCUCAUAACCUCUAAGGAUGCCUGCCAUAGAUGUAGGCGAAAUGCCAGGAGAGAAUGCUUCUGGAACAUGGCCAUACAGCCCGGAAAACUCACAGCAACUCAAGAAUAAUAUUUACUUCUAUCCCGCUUUUCUCCCAGGUUGGGAUUCAAAGGGGCAAACAACAUAUAAAAAGCAAAAACGUAAUAUACAAUAAAAAAUAAACAGCAUCAGCAGCAUCAUAAAUAAUGAUAAUAAUGAUGACAGCAGCAACCCCUGACAUGAUCUUAAAAUUCAAUUCAAAUAAGAAAUUGUCUUACAUAGACGGAGAGUUAGCUCAAGAUGCUUGUUCCUAUAUUUCCAAUUUAUGGCAACCCUAAGGCGAUCAUAAGUUAAUGUCUGAGUCUGAAAAAACUUAAAUCCAAGUUCAGUCUUCUGCUCACAGAUCCAGCCAUAUAACAGCACUGAACAAUGAAACUUAAAAGCUGUGCUAAUCCUCAAGCCUAUGAUCAAUGCAAGUAAACGUGCCCAUGCAAGCCAGGUCUUAUAUGGAUUGAGAAUCCUUAGUCUGGUUAAUAACUACCUGUUGAUCUGGGUGUGAUAUUAUCAAGAACAUUCAUAGAGAUGUGAAGAGCUUUUGGUUUGAAAAAAAGUGAUUAUAAAUUCAUAUAUACUUCAGAUCUCAACACAACCUGUCUAAAUGUGUAUACUAGAGAUUGCAACCAUAAAGAUGUCUAGGAAUGAGCAACUUCUUCCUGUAGGUAAAGUAUGCCACUGUUUUACUAAACUAGCAAUCCUGUGCAUAUGUCUUGAUUAUUUGCUUUAUUUUAUGCACAUGCCCUGUAUGUCUCACUGUUGUUUUUUUUCUGUAAACACCAGUGCAACCCAGCUAAAAUUAUGCACUUUUUAUCUAAUAUAAAUGGCCGUUUCACUGUUUAACUUAAAUUAGUGGGACUUAAAAGUAUGUUAUUGAGUCCUAAAUCAGUUUUAAUUGUAGGUUUUGAACUCUCGUCUUGUGUUUUUAAUCUUUGUUCUGUGUAUUACAAUAUGUAUUUUAUAAAAAUGCAUUUCAAUAUGUGUAUUUUAUAGAAUGUUUAAGAUAAUUGUGUUUUUUGACCUAUGUUGUAAACCGCCUCAAGCCACAAGUAGAGGUGGGUAAGAAAUAUAUUAUUAUCAUUAUUACUAUUAUUAUUACGUAUACCCUAAAGCACAUGUGUAAAACUCAAGGCCCACAGGCCAAACACAGCACAUAAUGUCAUUUUAUGUGGACUUCCAGAUGCUAGAGUACAACUCCUGUAUUCCCCAUUAUUAAACAUCAUAACUAGAGCGGAUGGGAAGUUUCAUACUGUAACAUCUGGAAGGCUAUAGUUUGUUCUGUUUAAUCAGGAUAGUGGGGUUUAAAUUUAGGUUCAAGGCUUGCAGAUAUAAUGUAUGACUUUAAAAUGUGAUUUAACCUUUCCCCAUUCUCAGAGCCACAAGGGCUGUUGGGUAUACCCAAUCCGCAUGGCGGAUAAUCAAGAAUAAUGGAAGUUGUCGAACAACAUCUGGGGACCCAAAUGGGGUAAAAACUAGAGAGCAUCCACCACCAUGUAAGAACAUUAUAGUUGAUUCUCUGUAUACAUGGAUUCUCCAUCCAUGGAUUCAAUAGCCCUUUGAAGGCAACCAUAAUGUGGAUAUGGCCCUCAAUGAAAAUGAAUUUAUUUAAACCCUGACAUAAAGGGACCAGAUCCCAUCUGAUUUUGGAAACUAAGCAGGUCAGCCCUAUUAGUACCUGGAUGGGAGAUUACUAAUGGAUACCAGGUGUUGUAGGCUAUACUUUGAUAGGAGGGAAGCAGCAAACCUUGUCUGAAUAUGGGUGCAUCAACUAUACUGUAGAAUGAGUGCAGUUUGACACCACUUUAACUGCUAUGAUUCAAUGCUAUGGAAUCAUGGGAGCUGUAGUUUUACAAGGCCUUUAGCCUUCUUUGCCAAAGAGGUGGUGCUUUACCAAACUACAAUUCCCCCAUCACUGAAAAGCUAGUUAACUUUAGUAUGCAAAAUUCAGUUUGCAUUGGCUUUAUAUUUGGUCCAUUCUGGGCAAUACAUUAUUUAAGUCUUAUAUUAGCUUCUAUUUGCUAGCAAGUAAUUUUAAUUUGAACAGGAUAUCUGAGUGCAUCAUAAUGAAAACCUUUGAGCAAAAGGCUCUCUCUGGAAAUUUUUACAUCUAAAUGGAAAAUGUUUUGUAAACAGAUGAUUAAUGGAAAAUGCUUAGCAAAUAAGAGCUUUUGCAGGUUUUUCUGGGCUAUGACAUGUUUUCAGGUGACACAGUAUUUAUUUUUACAAUGCUUCACAGUAUUUACUUUGGAUAUUGCAGCUUUGGGCUGUUCUAAUUCUUUGCUGUUUCCACCCAUCCCUACUGCCAGUUUUUCAGCUGCUAAAGUUCAGGCUGAUUAUUAUUUGGAUUAUAAUAAAUCCCCAAACAACAGUAUAAUCUUCCAAAUGGUCAGCGGGCGGGAUUUGUUCAUCCUACCAAAACCAGCAAUAGUUAUAAAAUCUGAUUACUUGACAUUGUCAGAAAAACCAGUUUAGGGAUUUCAGGACACCUUAAAGACCUAAUCAAAUAAGCUCUCUUCUUUUUGUUUCAUUUUUUCCCCCAGAGGCAAUUCAAGACAAAACAAAGAAAGUUUGGGCUUUGCAAAUAAUCAUUGUAGAAUUUAGAAAGAGUUUCAUGCUCAAAGGUGUUGAUGUGUUAGAAUUUCACAUCAAAUAGAGCUGAGGUAUACUAUUUAUAGAGGCCCUAGACAGCACAGCGGGUUAAACCACUGAGCUGCUGAACUUGCUGACCAAAAGGUUGGCAGUUCAAAUCCAAGGAGCGGAAUUAGUGCCCGCUGUUAGCCCCAGCUUCUGCCAACCUAGCAGUUCAAAAACAUGUAAAUGUGAGUAGGUCAGUAGAUACCACUCCGGCGGGAAGGUAAUGGCGCUUCAUGCAGUCAUGCCGGCCACAUGACCUAAGAGGUGUCAAUUGACAACACCAACUCUUCAGCUUAGAAAUGGAGAUAAGCACCAACCCCCAGAGUCAAAUACAACUAGACUUAAUAUCAGGGGAAACCCUUUACCUUUAUAUUAUUUACACAGUGUAAGCCUUAUAUAGACAUGCGAAACAAUUGUAUUGAUCAGCCACUUGGCCUUAUCAAAACAAAUAUAAAAAUUUAGUAAAUGAAUUCAUAGCCAGAUGCCUCCACCAAAGACUUUUAUAUGUAUGUUAUUGCUGGAGUUUCCAAGUCACAAGUAGGGGAAAAUCCAGCUGUAUAAGCUAAAUAAGUUUACCAUCACUGACAUAUUUAUACAACCAAAUAUAAAUGUUACCAAUGAUAGACACUGCCAAAAUUCUCUUGUCACAUUUAGAAGCAAGCAACUACAGACAGGAAAGAAAACAAACCCUCGUCUCUCUUUGCUAUCAGUAGAUAAGUUCUAGUAUUAGCCAUGUCUGUGCAUUAAAAUGAACAAUGUUGUAAUGUCACACAGCACAUUGUGGAGUGAUUAUCACCAUAGAUAUAUCACCAUCAAUCAUUACCUCUGUUGAAGUCACUCCCCAUGUAAAUCAACUAAAUGGUUUCGUAUGAAACAUCUCCCUCAAGUCAGAAAAACCUGAAUGAGCAACCUGGUAUGUCUAGGGAGGCGGCAGAAACAAGGUUAGCCUCACUUGAAACAACAACAGAUCACAUGUGACCUUUAGUUGGAUCACAAAUUAAGCUAUGAUAAGGCCUCAGUAGGCUUACCUUCCCAGGUAUGUGGGAUGAUUCAGAAGGAAACUACUCUUGGUUCUCUUCUCUCUCUCCCUCUCUCUCCCUCUCUCCCUCUCUCUCUCUCUCUCUCUCUCUCUCUCUCUCACACACACACACACACAGAGCAUCUGGUUUCAUAAACAUAUUUGUGAUUAGGUGAAUUAUUCCUUUUUUCUCCACAAUAUGAAUGUCGAUUAAUGUGUGAUGUGCCUACUGUAGGACAGUUGUCCAUAAAAUAGUCCAAAUAUAAUCUGUUGUAAGGGCAAUGUUGUUAUCAAACAAUGGCUUCAAACUACAGGAAAGGAGAUUCCACCUGAACAUCAGGAAGAACUUCCUCACUGUGAGGGCUGUUUGACAGUGGAACUCUCUCCCCCGGGCUGUGGUGGAGGCUCCUUCCUUGGAGGCUUUUAAGCAGAGGCUGGAUGGCCAUCUGUCGGGGGUGCUUUGAAUGCGAUUUCCUGCUUCUUGGCAGGGGGUUGGACUGGAUGGCCCAUGAGGUCUCUUCCAACUCUACUAUUCUAUGAUUCUAUGAUUCAAAGAAGCCAGAUUAAUAUUCCUGGAUCAGGGAAAUGUAUUCUUUAAAAAUGCUCUGUCCAAAGGGCAAGCAUGUUCAGUUUCAAUAAAUAAAUUAAAGAUGAUAAAAUGGAAAGUAGCAUUAGAGUAAUCAUAUCUCCAAUAAAGUUUCUCUGAAUAUUU